GCCCCGUUGGUCGACGCAGGUGAAGACGCCGGACUCUCAAUCCGGAGAUCGCGGGUUCGAUUCCCGCACGGGGUAC
rnacentral:tRNA from 1 species